AAAACCCCACAAAACAAAGAGACAAGUUCUUAUCUUCUCGAUUUCGCUCUCGAAGAGGGAGCAAGAGGACCCAUCGAUCGAUCGCCAUUUGAGAGGGAUUUGGAGCUCCAAUCAUGCCUUCUGGUGCGAAGAAGAGGAAAGCGGCCAAGAAGAAGAAGGAGAUGGCCGUCCCCCACCAACCGGAUUCACCUACCGAUCGUCCCCAUGGGAACGGGGAGCGGGAGAGUGGGAGCGAGGAGGAAGGAGAACGAGCUAUGGAGUCUCAUGGUGUUGAUGGGCCGGAGAACGGAGCCGGAGAGGAACAUCGGGAGGAGAUUAAGGAGGUGAUGGGUUCUGGUGAGGCUGGGGAUGUUUCUGUUGAGGCUGUUGAGGUUGUUGAGGUAGUUGAGGUCACGGAGAAGGUUGAGGAGAAGCCGGAGCCGGAGAAGGAGGAGGAGGAGGAGGAGGAUGGGCAGGUUGUUGCGGUUCCGAUCGUGCAAGUUAGUUCGGUGAAUGAGGAGGUGGUGGAGGCGAUCGAGGGCUUGGCGGAGGAGGCUGAUGCGGCUGUUGAAGCUGUGGUUCUGAAGGAGAUGGUCGAGAAGUCAGGGGCUAAAGAGAGCGAGGAGGUGAUUGUGGUGGCUGUGCCGGAGAAAAUAAGUGAACAGCCCUCGGAGAGUGGUGAGAGAUUGGCUGAGAAGAUCAGUGCACCGCCUAUGGAGAGUCCUGAGGAUACGCCGGUAGCUGUGCCGGAGAAGAUCGGUGAACAGCUUUCUGAGAGUGAUGAGAGAUUACCAGAGACGAAAAGUCGUGAAAUUCCUGGCACUGCUGAGGCUGAUCCUGCUCCGUUGGUUGCGCAUCGUGCAAAUCUCUGGAAUUGUUGUGGGCUGCUGGAGGUUUUCUUUGGCUCCCAAAGAUAAUAUCAGCUUUUGUGAUCCUCUCAAUCACAACCUACCUGCCUAUUAUAUUCCAUAGAUGACCUUUGUGGGUUUAUAUGAUAAUCAGGUCCCCAGAACCAUAUAUUCGAUCCACUAGGUAACUAAUCAUUUGAGGGAGAUCAUGAUUGGAUCUAGAAAGACAAGAUCAAAGCUUUUCCAAAUGACGAGAUGCUCUUCCGCUCCAAUGCUGGUAUCUGGAAGUUAAACCUUUCCUUUGAUUCUGUUCUGGUUGCAAUAGGCUAUUUGCACAUUAGUUCAUUUUGUUUUGUCUAAUUUUAAUAUUUUUGGCUGUUAAAAGGGUAUUGUUUAGUGAUUUGUUUGUCUAAGUUAUGUAUAGUUUCAUAGUAUAAUAAUGUGUACUCCAUAUAUUUCGUCUAUGGAGCAGGUUUUGGUUUUAUUUGUGCUGUCAUUGUUCUGAACUCUGAAGGUCAUACUUAAAAGUCAUAGAUGUGUGUUUU